rnacentral:rRNA from 1 species
CCUACGUGCGGCAGUGGGGAAUAUUGGACAAUGGGCGAAAGCCUGAUCCAGCCAUGCCGCGUGUGUGAAGAAGGCCUUCGGGUUGUAAAGCACUUUCAGUGGGGAAGAAAGCCUUGGGGCUAAUACCCUCGAGGAAGGACAUCACCCACAGAAGAAGCACCGGCUAACUCCGUGCCAGCAGCCGCGGUAAUACGGAGGGUGCGAGCGUUAAUCGGAAUUACUGGGCGUAAAGCGCGCGUAGGCGGUCUGAUAAGCCGGUUGUGAAAGCCCCGGGCUCAACCUGGGAACGGCAUCCGGAACUGUCAGGCUAGAGUGCAGGAGAGGAAGGUAGAAUUCCCGGUGUAGCGGUGAAAUGCGUAGAGAUCGGGAGGAAUACCAGUGGCGAAGGCGGCCUUCUGGACUGACACUGACGCUGAGGUGCGAAAGCGUGGGUAGCAAACAGGAUUAGAUACCCCAGUAGUC